GAUGGGUAGGGGAGCGUCGUCUGCCGGGUGAAGCAGCACCGGAAGGUAGUUGUGGACGGUUGACGAGUGAGAAUGCAGGCAUGAGUAGCGAUACAAACGUGAGAAACGUUUGCGCCGAUUGACUAAGGGUUCCUGGGUCAAGCUGAUCUGCCCAGGGUAAGUCGGGACCUAAGGCGAGGCCGACAGGCGUAGUCGAUGGAUAACCGGUUGAUAUUCCGGUACCCGCUGUGAAGCGUCAAACAUCGAGCAUCGUGAUGCUAAGGCCGUGAAGCCGUUCCGGACCCUUCGGGGAAAGGAAAGUGGUGGAGCCGCCGAACCAAGCGGUUAGUAGGUGAGUGAUGGGGUGACGCAGGAAGGUAGUCCAUCCCGGGCGGUGGUUGUCCCGGGGUAAGGGUGUAGGACGAGUGGUAGGUAAAUCCGCCGCUCACAUAGUCUGAGACCUGAUGCCGAGCCGAUUGUGGUGAAGUGGAUGAUCCUAUGCUGUCGAGAAAAGCCUCUAGCGAGUUUCAUGGCGGCCCGUACCCUAAACCGACUCAGGUGGUCAGGUAGAGAAUACCGAGGCGUUCGGGUGAACUAUGGUUAAGGAACUCGGCAAAAUGCCCCCGUAACUUCGGGAGAAGGGGGGCCACGCUCGGUGAUCGGAUUUACUCCGUGAGCUGGGGGUGGCCGCAGAGACCAGCGAGAAGCGACUGUUUACUAAAAACACAGGUCCGUGCGAAGCCGUAAGGCGAUGUAUACGGACUGACGCCUGCCCGGUGCUGGAACGUUAAGGGGACCGGUUAGCUUGGAUUCGUCCAGGCGAAGCUGAGAACUUAAGCGCCAGUAAACGGCGGUGGUAACUAUAACCAUCCUAAGGUAGCGAAAUUCCUUGUCGGGUAAGUUCCGACCUGCACGAAUGGCGUAACGACUUCUCGACUGUCUCAACCAUAGGCCCGGUGAAAUUGCACUACGAGUAAAGAUGCUCGUUUCGCGCAGCAGGACGGAAAGACCCCGGGACCUUUACUACAGUUUGAUAUUGGUGUUCGGUUCGGCUUGUGUAGGAUAGCUGGGAGACUUUGAAGCAUGCACGCCAGUGUGUGUGGAGUCGUCGUUGAAAUACCAGUCUGGUCGUGCUGGAUGUCUAACCUGGGUCCGUGAUCCGGAUCAGGGACAGUGUCUGAUGGGUAGUUUAACUGGGGCGGUUGCCUCCUAAAGAGUAACGGAGGCGCCCAAAGGUUCCCUCAGCCUGGUUGGCAAUCAGGUGUUGAGUGUAAGUGCACAAGGGAGCUUGACUGUGAGACCGACGGGUCGAGCAGGGACGAAAGUCGGGACUAGUGAUCCGGCGGUGGCUUGUGGAAGCGCCGUCGCUCAACGGAUAAAAGGUACCCCGGGGAUAACAGGCUGAUCUUCCCCAAGAGUCCAUAUCGACGGGAUGGUUUGGCACCUCGAUGUCGGCUCGUCGCAUCCUGGGGCUGGAGUCGGUCCCAAGGGUUGGGCUGUUCGCCCAUUAAAGCGGUACGCGAGCUGGGUUUAGAACGUCGUGAGACAGUUCGGUCCCUAUCCGCUGUGCGCGUAGGAAUAUUGAGAAGGGCUGUCCCUAGUACGAGAGGACCGGGACGGACGAACCUCUGGUGUGCCAGUUGUUCUGCCAAGGGCAUGGCUGGUUGGCUACGUUCGGGAGGGAUAACCGCUGAAAGCAUCUAAGCGGGAAGCCUGCUUCGAGAUGAGUAUUCCCACCUCCUUGAGAGGGUAAGGCUCCCAGUAGACGACUGGGUUGAUAGGCCGGAUCUGGAAGCCAGGUAACUGGUGGAGGUGACCGGUACUAAUAGGCCGAGGGCUUGUCCUC
rnacentral:rRNA from 1 species